GUCCCGGUGGGGUAGCGGAUAUCCUAGAAGAUUGCGGAUCUUUUGACCCGGGUUCAAGUCCCGGCCGGGGCG
rnacentral:tRNA from 1 species